rnacentral:rRNA from 1 species
ACAUGCAAGUCGAGCGGAACGACACUAACAAUCCUUCGGGUGCGUUAAUGGGCGUCGAGCGGCGGACGGGUGAGUAAUGCCUAGGAAAUUGCCUUGAUGUGGGGGAUAACCAUUGGAAACGAUGGCUAAUACCGCAUAAUGCCUACGGGCCAAAGAGGGGGACCUUCGGGCCUCUCGCGUCAAGAUAUGCCUAGGUGGGAUUAGCUAGUUGGUGAGGUAAUGGCUCACCAAGGCGACGAUCCCUAGCUGGUCUGAGAGGAUGAUCAGCCACACUGGAACUGAGACACGGUCCAGACUCCUACGGGAGGCAGCAGUGGGGAAUAUUGCACAAUGGGCGAAAGCCUGAUGCAGCCAUGCCGCGUGUAUGAAGAAGGCCUUCGGGUUGUAAAGUACUUUCAGUUGUGAGGAAGGGGGUGGUGUUAAUAGCGCUAUCUCUUGACGUUAGCAACAGAAGAAGCACCGGCUAACUCCGUGCCACCAGCCGCGGUAAUACGGAGGGUGCGAGCGUUUAUCGGAAUUACUGGGCGUAAAGCGCAUGCGGGUGGUUCAUUAAGUCAGAUGUGAAAGCCCGGGGCUCAACCUCGGACUGCAUUUGAAACUGGUGAAACUACAGUACGGUGAG